rnacentral:rRNA from 1 species
GGUUUGGUGGUCAUAGCGUGAGCAAAACACCCGGAUCCAUUCCGAACCCGGCCGUUAAGUGCCACCGCGCCAAUGGUACUGCGUCUCAAGACGUGGGAGAGUAGGUCACCGCCAAACCU